CGACUGCUAAAUCCUCGUCCAACUGGAUUCGCAUCGAACUGGCAGGCUAGAGUACUGACGAGGAAGGUAGAACUUCAGCUUAAGCGUGAAUGCGUAAGAGAAUGUCGACGACUACAGUGGCGAGGCCGACUCUCCUGGACUAUAACAUGACGUGCAGCUCGAAAGCGUGGGGGAGCAAACAGGAUUAGAUAUCAUGGUAGUGCACGCUGUAAACGAUGUCGACUAGGGAGGUUGUGCCUUUGAUGCGUGGGUUCCGGAGGUAACGCGAUUAAGUCAUUCCGCCUGGGGAGUACGGCCGCAAGGUUAAAACUCAAAAGAAAUGCCGGGGGCCCGCACAAGCGGUGGAACAUGUGGUUUAAUUCGAUGCAACGCGAAGAACCUUACCUAGUUUUGACCUUCAGAGAACUUAGCAGAGAUAUAGGGGUUCCUUUGGGGACUUUGAGACAGGUUGUGCAUGGGUGUUGUCAGCUCGUGUUGUGAAAUGUUGGGUUAAGUUCCGCAACGAGCGCAACCCUUUUCCUUUGUUGCCAAGCAUUAGGCCGGGAACUCAAAGGAGACUGCCAGUGAUAACCGGAGGAAGGUGGGGAUGACGUCAAGUCAUCAUGGCCCUUACGAGUAGGGCUACACACGUGCUACAAUGGCGCAACAAAGAGAAGGACCUCGCGAGAGCAAGCGGUCCUCAUAAAGCAGUUUGUAGUCCGGAUUGGAGUCUGCAACUCGACUGCCAGAAAGUCGGAAUCGUUAGUAAUCGGGGAUC
rnacentral:rRNA from 1 species